AUCUAUCUGUUGUGUUCGUGCUUGAUUUAUUUCCCUGAGCCGAUUAAGUAUAGAAAAGGAGAUGAGAUUGGUUACUUUUGUGUAUGCCCACCUUGAAGUGGGAAACCUACGGUAAACAUCGAACUUCCGCCUUGAACCAGAAUGGUUCAGGACCAUGUCAACACGGCACAAUGGACCCUCU
rfam:Candidatus Thioglobus singularis PS1, complete genome.